UAACCCAAAAAAAUUUGGCGCAAAACUAACAAAUACAAAAAAAAUUUAAAUAAGGAUAGUUUUCAUAUUUAAAUUAAGUUUAUAAGAACGCAGCCUAAACAAACCCAAAUCUUAUUUUGUGUUAGACGAGGUUUACAUGACAGGAUCCACGCUUGUGGGAGUUAGGUUGUACCAAUUGAAAGUUUUGGGUGGAAAAUGAUACUUAUUGUAAAUUACGAGCGCAAAAAGUGUAGUUUCGCUACUUUAGGCUGGUCGGUUCCUCCACCACCGUGGCUAUAAAUAUGAAGAUGAGAUUCCUACUUUCCCAGGGCACGAAAGGAAGAGAGACCAAAAGAGGAUUUGUUUGGGUUCCUGAAUUUUGAUAUUCUUUUUCCUCAAUUGUUAUCUUUUUUUCUGUUUUGAAAAUCAGCACGUCUUUUGGAGGCAAGAUUCGAAGUGAUGUUUCGUUCGCUGCUAACACGUAUGAAUGCUAUUCCAACACCCAAACUCGUCAACAUAUGUGUUUGUGUACUCAUCACCGAUAUGUUUGUCGAUGUGGGGUCUACGUUGGCAGAUUACUGGUUCUUUACCAAGAGGCAGGAUGCCUUGAGGGACGCAUCUAGUCGAAGGUGGCAGGAUGCCUUGAGGGACGCAUCUAGUCGAAGAGAUUGAAGUUAGAGAUGCACAACCCUAAAUACUUGCAUCUGCAGUCUUGUUUAUCAUGGUUCUGUUUAUAAAGAUAAUGUAAGACAACUAACAAUGCAUUUACUAUGGUUGUCCUAUUUUGCUUGUGGGAAGGGGGUUGUCAUGUGAUGGUUGCUUCCUGCUACAUUGUUUAUUUUGCUAGAGCAAAAGAAGAGAAAAGAGACCUUUGUUACUUGUAAUCUUUGAUCUAAGCUAUAGUAUUCAGCUAUAUAAUGCUGAAAAUUUUCAGUU